UACGUAGGCAGCAAGCGUUGUUCGGAGUUACUGGGCGUAAAGGGUGUGUAGGCGGUUCCUUAAGUUUGCUGUGAAAUCUCCCGGCUUAACCGGGAGGGUGCGGUGAAUACUGAGGGACUAGAGUACGGGAGAGGAAAGUGGAAUUCCUGGUGUAGCGGUGAAAUGCGUAGAUAUCAGGAGGAACACCCGUAGCGAAGGCGGCACUCUGGGCCGAUUCUGACACUGAGGAGCGAAAGCGUGGGGAGCGAACAGG
rnacentral:rRNA from 1 species